rnacentral:rRNA from 1 species
AUGCCGCGUGUCUGAAGAAGGCCUUCGGGUUGUAAAGGACUUUUGUCAGGGAAGAAAAGGCUGUUGCUAAUAUCGACAGCUGAUGACGGUACCUGAAGAAUAAGCACCGGCUAACUACGUGCCAGCAGCCGCGGUAAUACGUAGGGUGCGAGCGUUAAUCGGAAUUACUGGGCGUAAAGCGAGCGCAGACGGUUACUUAAGCAGGAUGUGAAAUCCCCGGGCUCAACCUGGGAACUGCGUUCUGAACUGGGUGACUAGAGUGUGUGCGAGGGAGGUAGAAUUCCACGUGUAGCAGUGAAAUGCGUAGAGAUGUGGAGGAAUACCGAUGGCGAAGGCAGCCUCCUGGGAUAACACUGACGUUCAUGCUCGAAAGCGUGGGUAGCAAACAGGAUUAGAUACCCUGGUAGUCCACGCCCUAAACGAUGUCAAUUAGCUGUUGGGCAACUUGAUUGCUUAGUAGCGUAGCUAACGCGUGAAAUUGACCGCCUGGGGAGUACGGUCGCAAGAUUAAAACUCAAAGGAAUUGACGGGGACCCGCACAAGCGGUGGAUGAUGUGGAUUAAUUCGAUGCAACGCGAAGAACCUUACCUGGUCUUGACAUGUACGGAAUCCUCCAGAGACGGAGGAGUGCCUUCGGGAGCCGUAACACAGGUGCUGCAUGGCUGUCGUCAGCUCGUGUCGUGAGAUGUUGGGUUAAGUCCCGCAACGAGCGCAACCCUUGUCAUUAGUUGCCAUCAUUAAGUUGGGCACUCUAAUGAGACUGCCGGUGACAAGCCGGAGGAAGGUGGGGAUGACGUCAAGUCCUCAUGGCCCUUAUGACCAGGGCUUCACACGUCAUACAAUGGUCGGUACAGAGGGUAGCCAAGCCGCGAGGUGGAGCCAAUCUCACAAAACCGAUCGUAGUCCGGAUUGCACUCUGCAACUCGAGUGCAUGAAGUCGGAAUCGCUAGUAAUCGCAGGUCAGCAUACUGCGGUGAAUACGUUCCC